CGGGCCAUAGUGUAACGGUAGCACGAGACCUUUGGGAGGUUUUAGUUCCAGUUCAAAUCUGGAUGGCCCGACUA
rnacentral:tRNA from 1 species